rnacentral:lncRNA from 1 species
UUAUGAAUUCAACAAUCAUCAAGUGUUAAAAUUUUCAUUUGUUCUUGAUAUAGCAUCGUUGCAUGAAGUGCGUUCAAUUUCUUGGUGUGCCAUUGUACUUAGUAAAGGGCCAUGAGUCAAAUUAAUGGUAGUGAGAGUGAUUAUGCAGGCCCUUCUCUUUAGUCGAUUCAAGUCCAUAGGUAUGCAUAAGGUGUAUUUUUUGUGAAAUAAUGCGACAAUGUCUGACCUCAUAUAUUAAAAUGGUUGUGGAUGGCGGUAAUGACUAUUGGAGCUCGGGCUCCAUGGAGCCCUUUGUUUUUGAAAAGUUCAAAAUCCAAAAUUCCUGUUUCAAAAAGAUUUGAAAAAAAUAUGCAAGUACACAAGGAAGAAAUGUAUAUGUAUGCAAAAAUUCAGGAUGAAAUACCUAAAUAUUCGAUCUGUGCAAAAAGAAC